UAGUAACGGCGAGUGAAGAGGGAAAAGCUCAAAUUUUGAAUCUGGUGUCUUUGGCGCCCGAGUUGUAAUCUAGAGAAGUGUUUUCUGCCUCGGACCACACAUAAAUUCCCUGGAAUGGGGUGUCAUAGAGGGUGAGAAUCCCGUUUGUGGUGUGGACUACCUUGGCUCUGUGAUACACUCUCAACGAGUCGAGUUGUUUGGGAAUGCAGCUCAAAAUGGGUGGUAAAUUCCAUCUAAAGCUAAAUAUUGGCGAGAGGCCGAUAGCGAACAAGUACCGUGAGGGAAAGAUGAAAAGCACUUUGGAAAGAGAGUGAAACAGUACGUGAAAUUGUUGAAAGGGAAGCGUUUGAAGUCAGUCACAUCGGUCGGAAUUCAGCCUGGCUUUGCCUGGUGUACUUUCUGGCAGAUGGGUCAGCGUCAAUUUCGACUGAGGGAAAAAGACUUGAGGAAUGUGGCUGUCCUCGGGCAGUGUUAUAGCCUCUUGUUGUAUGUCUCAGUUGGGAUUGAGGACCGCAGCACGCCUUAUGGCCGGGGUUCGCGCCCUCGGAACGUGCUUAGGA
rnacentral:rRNA from 1 species